GUGGGUUCUGAAUGAAUAGGCUUUGGCAGAAGCAGAGUGUUUUUCUUAUUGGCUGGGUAGAAUGUGAGAAAGCCUCUGACUGUCAGAGGAAAGGAGGGAUAACUUGACAACAGCAGUAGCUCCCCUGGCUGUGAUUGCAGGUCCACAAUUGACCCUGAGAGGGAAGAACGAUGAAGACGUCCAUUGGAGUUUUGUUCAUGUUCCUGUGGCUGCAGCUGGACUGGGUCAGUCAUGGAGAGAAAGUGGACCAGCAUCGUUCCACCCUGAGUGUUCAGGAGGGAAACACCGCUGUUAUCACCUGUUCUUAUUCAGACAGUGGCUCAGACUACUUUCCUUGGUAUAAGCAAGAACCUGGAAAAGGUCCCCAGUUCAUUAUAUACAUUCGUUCAACUGUGGACAAAAACCCAGUUGGAAGACUCACUGCUUUCUUGAAUAAAACGGCCAAACAUCUCUCCCUGCACAUCGCAGACACCCAACCUGGAGACUCAGCCGUCUACUUCUGUGCAGCGGAUGCACAUCGCUUCCCAGGCACCUGCAUCCUGUACACAAACCUGCGAGUGGGGCAGCCCCCUCUGCCUGGGACAGACCUUCAGGCACAGCAUUUGUCUUAUUGCUUAUUUGCAAAUGGAAAACAAUGUGUUGGUAAAAAACACUUAAUAAGAGGCACGUUUCAAGAUGACCCAGAAAGGGUUAGAACAUACAGUAGGGUGAUUGUUGCAUAAUGGAUUUUUGAAGUGAAUUAUUAAUGUUUAAUUUUGAAACUUAGGCCUUAAAGAUGACUUUAUAUUUGCUAUUCAAUCUCCUGUCCUAUAAAAAAAGCCCUUAUCAUCAAUAUAGCAAUCUUUAUUACGACUGGACUUUUAAAUGUUGUAUUUUGAGAAAAGCAUUUGUGAUGUUUUUCUGAUUAUAAAUUAUUACAUGGCAAUUAAAGAAAAUAUGUAUAAUACAAAAUGAGAAAUUGAUAACUAUGUAAGCAGAUAAUAUUGCCAACAGUUAAAUUACCUUUCCAUCAAUUUUUAGUGUAUUUUUUUAUUGAAAUGUAUAUCUUGAAUUGAGCAUUUUCAUUUCAUCAAGUCUUCUCCUGCAACACCUGCUAUUUAAUAGAUCUCUGAAAAAUUUUAGUAAAUUACAGAUUUCUAUUAAUUUUCUUCUACAUUUGUGACAAAAAUGUGACAGUUUUUUUUCUAUGUUCUAUAUGUUCUGUUUAUUGUUAAAAAAUGUGACACUUGGUUUUUCAGAGCUCA